CGGCCACCAGAGAGAAUCUGAUGCAACGUGAAGACCUCAGCCAGCAGGAGCCUGAGGCACACGGAGAGGAGGAAGUGGAAGAGGAGGACGGGAGAGGCACGGUGGUGGCAGGAAUGAAGGCAGAGGUGGGAGGCUGGCCAGGGCCACUCCACCCCACGCCCACCCCGGAGAGGGCCGAGGAAGCCACCAUCACGCAGCGUGUCACGGGGACCAGGCGGGGUUUAAGGCUGAGGGCUCGGGGCGGGCAGGGCCUCCGGCCUCAGUCAAAGCCGUGCCAGUGGCUGUGCUGCGAGUCUUAUUCCAGCGCGGCGCCCGAGCCCUUGACACCGUCCAGCAGGUGGGCAUGCCGUGGUGUCGGCCCCUGGCGCCAGCCUGCACUGCCACGCUCACACAGGCGCCGGCGCCACCUUCGCAGGCUGGCAGCAUCGCGGCUUUGAGGACACCCUCUUUGUGCGCUGAGUACUCGCACUUGACACUGUAACCUUCAGGGACAGGAACAACGCUGAGGAGCUUGACAUGCAGAGGCUGGGAACAGGUGCCUCACGGACGUGCUUGCUCACUGGGCGGGGGAAGAGUGAAGGUAAUCUCAUACCUGCGCAGGAUCUUCAGGAAGCCAACCUUGACCAGAAAGCUGCUGUCGCUGUCCUGGGUGGCCAUGACCACCGAGUCAUGAAGCCUCUCAUCAAAGCAGACGUGGCUCUGGGAGUAUUACAGGUCGAGAAAAUGUGGGUCGUGACCAACUCAGUAUACCACUGGAGGCUAUAUGAGUAAACAGAAAACUGUUCUCAUGAAAGCAGGAUGUUGGAAAACUGAGGGCUGCAUCUGCCCACAGAGGGAGUGCUGAGAGCAGUCACGCCCCAAGCGCAGUGUUCCUUGUGAUUACCUAUAGGAACAUCUGAAGCCUGUUGUACAAAGAAAGCAAUUAUGUGUACCUGUGAUAAAUCAAGCAACUGACCAACCGUUACCUCUCCCUCCCUGCUCUUUCUACCUAAUAAAUACGAAGGGCUGUGGAAGCUCAGGGCUGCCCUUGUUCACUAGAAGCAAGGAGCCCCCUGACCCCUUCUUUCAAAACAGAUCUUUUUGUCUUGGUCUUCAUUUCUG
rnacentral:lncRNA from 1 species